GAUCUUGGCUCAGGACGAACGCUGGCGGCGUGCUUAACACAUGCAAGUCGAACGAAAAGACGGAAAGAGCUUGCUCUUUUCAGAAUUGAGUGGCAAACGGGUGAGUAACACGUAAACAACCUGCCUUCAGGAUGGGGACAACAGACGGAAACGACUGCUAAUACCGAAUAAGUUCCAAGGGCCGCAUGGCCCAUGGAAGAAAAGGUGGCCUCUACCUGUAAGCUAUCGCCUGAAGAGGGGUUUGCGUCUGAUUAG
rnacentral:rRNA from 1 species